rnacentral:rRNA from 1 species
UACAUGGGGUGCAAACGUUGCUCGGAAUUAUUGGGCGUAAAGCGCACGUAGGCGGUUCGUUAAGUCGGAUGUGGAAGCCCUCGGCUCAACUGAGGAAGUGCACCCGAAACUGGCGAGCUUGAGUACGAAAGAGGAUCGCGGAAUUCCCGGUGUAGAGGUGAAAUUCGUAGAUAGUCGGGAGGAACGACCGGUGGCGAGGCGG